GGCGCGGUAGGCAACUGGACGACCACAUCGGCUCAGACCCGGUGAUGCUGCGGGUUCGACUCCCGUCUGCGCUAC
rnacentral:tRNA from 1 species